CCCCCCCCUCCUUGUUGGAGCUGAGUGCUUCCUGGGGUGGUUUCUGCACCUUAGAAUUUACUUAACCAAGGGUCGUUAUUGCUGUGUUUUAUUUGCGGUGAGUUUUGUGGGUGUGAUUUCUGAUUAGUGAGGUUCAUUUCCCUUUUGUACAGCUGGUGCUGUCGUACUAGCCUGCCGUUCAUACAAGAAGCCUCAGUUCUCCUAUGACUAUUGUUAAUUUCCUCUCGUGACUUUUAUUUAACCAAUGCCUGACAGUGCUGGCUGGCUUUUCUUUAAAAAUUAAAAAAUAAAUUAAUUUAAAUAAAACUAUUUUUUGUAUGGAAACCCAUGCCUCUUGCCUGUUCUAAGUGGCUCGUAUCUGUGUGCCUUUGUUUGGGUUGUUUCCCGAUUUUCUUGGGGUGGUGUAGUUGUUGCAAACGAGCCACUUGCUACACUAAAAAAUAAUUGCAAGAUAUUAAAUACACUUGAACCACAGUGCUGCUGAAUUCUUGUUUCUCAUUAGUCAGAAGGUGUUGAUUCAUUUUCUAUAACAGUGGGUCUGACGGUUAUAGAAAAGCAAAUCACAGGUUUAUAUUAAUUAGCUUAUUGUAAUACUUCAUCAUUCCAACUUGUACACAACUUGUAUGGUGGCUGUUCUACAUAAACAGACUCUCUUCAAAAAGUGUGUAACUGCUGAUAUGGUGAAACUUGCUAAACUUCAGAAACACCCAUCAGUCUCCUUAUUUUACAGAAGUGGGGUCUCAGGAAAUGUUGCUUAUUCCAGAUGUUCUUCUAAGCAUAGAGGACAGUUAGAGUUCAGUUUAGUCUCAAUGUUCCUUAGAUCUAAUACACUGAUGAAAAUGAGGUCAGUGUGUGACUACAGCAUGCAUAUGUUUUUCUAUUGACACCCAAGUAGGGGGGUGAGGGUGUGUGUGUGUGAAAUGGAUGCAGUAAUACACAGCUGUUUCUUCUGUCUUCACAUUAUGUCCUCUCAGUCAUUGUGCUGCUGGAGCUGAAAUACUGAACUUUAUAGAAUCUUUGAUUAUCGUCACCACUCCAAAUGUGGUUCUCCACUCCAGAGUUUUUCCUGCAGGUUGUCGAAUCCAAGCUGUGGUGUAGCUGUUAUCAGUAACAGAGUAGCCGGAUACUUUACAGCUGAGGGUUAAAGAAUCUCCUGGCUUUAACAUCACUGAGGUGACCUGAGUGAGUUCCAUUGCACAUCCCACAUCUGGAAAAAAGAGAUGUCACAAUUUCAGUCACAAAUGUAUGUACAGUAGGUUAUAACUGUAAUAACUUACUACAGUAGAAGCUGAGUUCAUUAUUGAAGUGAAAGUCGCUGGAUGAAGCUGCCAGCAGCAGCAAAAAUGAAAGGAACAUCGUUGAACUAAAAGCAGUGCUAAAUUCUGUCUCCUACAGGUUUUAAUCACAAUGGAAAUGUUCUCUGGUGCAUACCAUGGUUUGUAUUAACUAAAGCUAGACCAAUUAAUUUAAAUUUAGUACUAGAAAUGACCAUUAUAUGCUGCAUAGACAUCCGUCAAUACCAAACAUUUGUAACUAGGAGAGCACAUCACAUUUGAAUGAAAUAAUCUUUUAUACAUUUACAGUAAGAGCUUUAUUCUGGUCAGGGUUGCAUUGGAUCUGGAGGCUAUUGGGUGUGAAAAAGGUGACCUGCACUUAUCUGUAUGUGGUAAUAUCAGGUGGACACCUCCACUUGGAUGAAGGAACGUGAUUAUAACUCUCCCUACAGUGAUUCAGAGAGUGAACCAGAUUCUUAGGUAAUUUGAUUCAGCUGCUGUUCUCAUUGUGAGGCUGUAGAAUUUACUGGGGCAGAUUUAAUGAUUCAUUGCUAAUUUGGCCUGCAGGAGAGUGAGGAGAGACUUGCAUUUUUGGAGUUGGAGGUCUCCUUUAUUAGCUACCAUUUAUCAGUGAGAGGGGUUCUCGCUGUGUGCACUCUGUCAGGCGUUUUCUGUGAGUAAAACCUUUAUUUAGCUGCUGUCAUUGUGCAGGUAAAUUACACUCUGCUUUAACUUAUAUUGUGUGCAGUCUUGUAUUCAGACUCUGCUUGUCAGCAUCCACAACCUGAACUUCUUGCUUGUGGUGGGAAAGAAGUCUGUGAUGCAUCUGGCAGCAGCUAACAACCAGGUGACUUCAGAAUGAUGGACUGUUUCAUUUUUGUGCGACAUACUUUCAGUUACUGUUUUAGUGGUUAAAUAUAAAAACAGUAACAGGUAAUUAGGCAGUGAAGAAAACUGUAUUGCAUACACUUUAAGACACAAGUGCAAUGUAGCUACAGUAACUAUUGAAAUAACUAGCAUUCAUAGUUAACUUUCUUUUUGUAAUAAUAGCCUGCUAAGAAUUAAGGACAAAUAUUAAAAUAAAAUGUAUGUGAUGAAAAUGGUUCUGGGAAAUGCAGUACUUGGAAAUUUGGCCCAUGUAGUACAUCAUCUGUGUAACUUUAGUGGAGUACUCGACAUGUUAGGUUUACAUACUGUUUCUUAUUAGGGUUUAAAAUGAGUAGACAUGCUGAACAUUAUAGCCAAAGUGAGUUAUAAAGAUUUUUUGUUUGCUUUAACAUGAUGUGGUGGUUGUGUAGCUGCCUUAGGAGUUUCUGAUUCAAUUCCUGAGAAGUCUUUCAAAUCAGAAGUUGAUUGUAACAGAGCUCUUUGGGGCUCUCUUCAGGGUAGCUUGCAAAUGCCUGUGUAAAAUGACAGAUCAAAAUCUUUCAGAUUUAAAAAUUAUAUAGAAAACAGGACUCUAAUAUAUCAAGCAAAUUUUCUCCUCUGUGCAGCUCCACUAUUACAACUGCUGGGACGUGGUUUAUGAGCUACUUCAGUUUGGAUACUUCACAAGUGACUCAGCUCCUGAGGCAGUAAAUGACUUCUCAGGAGAUUUAAAAGUGAUGCUUUAAUGUAGUUUCAGAACAUGGACUAUUAUCUCAUUUUGUUUAACCAUAUUUUUACCCUGAUAUUCCUAAAAUGCGAGGGAGGAUUUUUGGAGAGCCUGUUUGGGUUCGUCAGUAUGUGGGAUGUGGACGUGUGGGAGCCUACAGCAGAGCUGUACUUCACAGUGCUUAUUGGAAGUGUCAAAUAUCUUCUGAUGCCAUGAUUCACAAACUCAUACUCAGUGACACUAUGCUGGCCAUCCCUCAUCCCUCAACACUCAUCCCUCAACACUCACCCCUUUAUACUCUAUCUCUCAGUACUUUAUCAUUAUCCCCAUCACUCUAUUCCUUUCAGUAGCCCAACGAGUCUAUAUAGAUAGACAACAGAAAAUUAAUUUCUCACUCGUAUACAAAUAAUUUUUUAAAGAAUUUCUGAAACUGUGAAAAAUGACAUAACAUUCAUGAAAUUUGCUGAUGGCCCCAAAUUGUAGAAAAAUCAGUAAACCUUUGAGAACUGCACAUGUACAUUUAAGUGUGUCACGAAUCGUGACGGAGCAGAGAUAGGACGGAUGCAAGUGCAGGAUGAACAGUUGUUUAUUUGAAAGACAGACAGGCAGACAAAUCCAAAACGUAAACCAUAAACAUGCAAGAGGUCAGGCGAUUGGCAAACAGGCAUACAUGGGGCAAGGCAGGAAUCUAGGUCGUGGUCACGGAAAACAGGGUCGAUAAACAAAACAAGAAAGCGGAAGAAGCGGAUAAUCCAGCGCGAACUGACUAUGACACGAGCUGAACUGACUCUAAACAUUUACUCUUCCGCGUUGUGUGCUAGGAGGCGCGCGAUCAGCGUCUAAACCGCUAGCAGCUGAGAGCAACUCAGACCCACGUGAAAUCCCAGCCAAUGACAGAACAGGGAGGAGACAGAAACAUAAACAAAACACACGUGUCCAGAUGUCAUUACAGUCAACAACGGAAAAGCAGGUGCUCGCGCACUCGCGCUUAGAGCACGCUGCUUCAAGGGGGAAUCGUGACAGUGUCCAUAGCAAAACUAUAAAAA